rnacentral:rRNA from 1 species
AGCAGCCGCCGCGGUAAUACAGAGGGUGCGAGCGUUAAUCGGAUUUACUGGGCGUAAAGCGUGCGUAGGCGGCUUUUUAAGUCGGAUGUGAAAUCCCUGAGCUUAACUUAGGAAUUGCAUUCGAUACUGGGAAGCUAGAGUAUGGGAGAGGAUGGUAGAAUUCCAGGUGUAGCGGUGAAAUGCGUAGAGAUCUGGAGGAAUACCGAUGGCGAAGGCAGCCAUCUGGCCUAAUACUGACGCUGAGGUACGAAAGCAUGGGGAGCAAACAGGAUUAGAUACCCCCGUAGUCCCUGUCUCUUAUCA